UCACAGAUGGUUUGUACUGAGAUGUC
rnacentral:piRNA from 1 species